GAUGGACCACGGAAAGAGAAUUAUAUAUUUUCGUGUACUAAAACUUUCAAGAUCUUCUGAUCAAUGUGAACCCUGUAAAACAAAGCCACCUUCUACGCUUGUCUGUGGUGUGGGCAGCGGUUGACGCUGCACACACAUGCAGCAGCACACACAGUGUAAUUACAGAGGCAUUUUAAACACAGGGCCGGCUCAGCUGACAGAGAACAUCAAAGUCGAGGACGGACCUGAGCGACUCGUUCUGAGCAUGGCAGAUUCACAUACGCCGCCGCACGGUGCGCACUCAUUCAAAAAUGAUAACAGAACUACUCUGUCUACCUCAGACAAAAGUAGAGACAGGCAAAGAUGAUGGGGGGGGGGAGGGGUUAGCCCCUCCUUACUGCUGUAAAAGAAGGAGGAAAAAAGGAAAAGAAAAGGAGAGGAAGAAAGGAAAUCACAGCCAUACGGGCUACACUCCCCCAGCUGAACUGUAUCUGCGUUUUCAACGGUGAGAGAACGGACUCUAUAUGGCGACGAGCUCCUCCCUCCGCCCUGCCUCAUCUGUCAGCCAUUAGUUAAUCAGAGCUGCUAAGACGGCGCACAGGGAGCUGGCACAAGGCGUGGGACCAGAGGACAGCUUCACCUCCGAGAGCCAGGAGAGGGCAAGGACUCUGGGACUUCUCGUUCACUGAUCCACAGCUGGGCUGCCUCACUCACCAGCACCCACUCAGGGCCGAAAGACACACAACCUCAAGAAGACCCCGCCCACUUCUUCACAGUACACAGGUGAGCCAAAAAGGGACACAUGGAAACAGUUAAGCAUCAGAAAGAAACUCGACUUAAUAUCUUGUCAUUCGUCCAAUGCGCCAAACAAACGGUUAACACUUCACAGAGAAUUUCCAUCUGUUCAACGAUCAGAUGCACUGAUCACUAAGGCCUUAAGCUGUACCUUAACAUUAUUUAAUCCUGUGAGAACCAUAAUUACACUACAAAAGACGUUCUGUAGGGUGAUCAUAAAAAAAAAAUACAGAGCCUCUUAAACUUCAUACAGUAAAGCGUGUUCUGUCAAAGCAAAGGAUAAACUAACGUUCAUAUCGGAUAUUGUGUGCAAUUAGAAAACUACACCUUUAAAGUCGCAUCUGUACGACCUAUUCGCGAUCACCUCAAAAGAAAUAAUGCAUCGUUAAAUGGAAAAAAAAAAAUGCUAAAAGGUGAUUUAAAGCGCUUUCUAAACAGGACCAUAUCUUUAAAACGUGAGAGCCAAGGUCGAAUUCCAGGCACAUUGCAGCGCGCUCCUAAUGCAAGAGGAUGGUAAUACCGAGCAUAUGGCAACUGGAGUUACGUAGACGCUUCAAAAGAGGUGGGUGCUGGAUGGAGCAAGAACAAACUUGCAAGUGUACACUGUGUUAACAGAAGUGCAGAAUUAUACCCUGGGCUACGCCGGUGUCAAGGUUGUCUGUCUGCUCCUUAUAAGGCCAAUGGAUUGCCUAUGCAAAAAAUGAUCUAUGCCGCUUUGUUAGAAUAAGCAAGUGAUAACUGGGAAGCGAAUGUGCUUGUAGGUAAUGUCAUCAGUAUCACUGUGUUCUCUUCAAGUGCAGAUCAGAGGAGGAAGAUUGAGACAAGAGGGAGGAAGAUUAACACAAAAAAAAAAGUCCUGGAACAUCGAGGCUGCUUUUCUGUUCAGUCUUGUUUUGCGAGAAGUCAAAACAACACAUGUUGUGAGAGUGAGAACAGCUGGUACGAGCGACGUCAUGGGGCAGUGGAAUGUCAGAAGUCAUUGAUCUUUUAUCCACCAGUGCUUUCCACAGCCACCCAGACCCUUUCCAAACCAAGCUCAGGGACAAUAUGAGAGUCCAGCAAUGGUGUUUGUGACUUAUCUCAUACAACGCCUCGUCAUACCAGACAUUUUGAACCGUGGAAAUCAUAGUAUGUGUUAAACAGAGACAAAAAAAAGGGGAGGAAUGCAGUGCAGAUUAAGUGUUUCCAAAUGCAAAGUAUUAAGUAAGUAGUACAGUUACAAAAUCUUAAGAUGAACUGCAGAUGGGAGAUGUUGUUUUCAUUAUUUGUCCCAAGAUAUAGUGGAUUAUAAUGUGGAAAUAAUUCCCUUCGCGUCCCAGCAAAUGCCACUCCUGACAGUGCACUUGUGAUUGGCUCAAACUAAACAGCAUAUUCUGAACUCCAUGCCAAAGUUUGACACUGCCAUCUCCAAGGAGUUAAAUAAACACCUGGUUGAGUAGGCAUAUACAGUUUCCUUUUUAAGUCAACACCAGUCAGAAAAGAUACACCAAGCAACCAUAAGUCAAUACAAAAUGACAAAACAGGCAAGUUUUACCGUCUGUCUAAACAUUCCACUGAGAGCGUUUUCCAUUACCAUGUUAUACUGAAACAUCCGCUAGUGCUUACAUGAACCCCACGCUGCAGAUGGACAAAAAGGGAUUUUAAAAAAAGAAAACAAAAAUCCAAUUCCUGAUGACAGAACUUGAAAAAUACAAAGGGCAGGCCAGUUAUAAAGUAGUGACCUUUGACAUAACACGUCCAAGUCUGACUCCCUCUUCCUGCUAAAUGUUACACAGCUGCUUUUUUAAUCUGUCAGAGCAACUAGUUUACCACAGUUUGCGAAGAGUCUUCAUCUUACAAGACACUUAUUAUUACUGUUAUUAAGAUCCACGUAUCUGCUGUAUGUGUGUUUCAUUACCACAGUAUAACACUAAAGUAUUCCUUAUGUAGCACCUGACCACCCUUACUGCAUAACUACAUCCACUGGAUCUAUUUUUGAAGCUCUGCUGGGCUAAAUCUAUGGCUGUUAGUCUUCCCAACGGACUCUUAAAGGAGUCUGAAAUAAUGCACAUCAGGUAGUAAAGUCCUUUAAGAUUCCAGAAGGAGGCGCUUGGAGAUUUGACAAAAAAAAGAAAAAGCAAUAGCUGAUAACAAGAGACAAAUAGAGCCAACAAGUAGUCGCAAACAGCAACUUCUCAAAAGUUAAAAUGCCAAAACAUCAUCACACUUCUAUACAGCUGCUUCAUUUGAUCAAUGAAUCAAUGAAUCGAUUCAUUGAUCAAUUAAUCAUUCACAAAACGUUUCAUCAGAAAUGUUUACAGCUGGUUGUUUUUAGUCCGAGUGAAACUGUCAAACAUUUCAUGUUUUCAGUUUCUCAAAAGUGAGGAUUUGCUGCUUUAUUUUGUCUUACAUUACAGUAAAUUAUAAAUAUUUGAUUUAGUAAAUGCAACCACUUAAAACUCUGGGAAACGUGGGAAGACUAUGGUCUUAAACUAAACUAAACACUUAAACACGGUUGAAUGUUGUUUUUUGAUUUUUGUUACAAGCGGCAAAGACAUUGGGAGAAAUGUUUCAGAUGAGUGAGUGCAUCACGUACACACUCACAGACUGAAAAGUCCUCACACCUGCGGUCCAGUGAACACAAGACCUGACAGGUAGACCUUGAACCCCUUCGAGUAAGUACGACACGUUCAGAAAAACAGAGCAAGGUGAGUACAACUGAUCCCAAACCUUCUCCACUGAGGAGCAGAAGUUUAUGAAGAACUCACUGGAUGUUACAGCUGAAUUGAAGAACCAUGUUACUUUACCAUGGGUGACAACACCUAAUAUAUCACUGUCUCUCUCAUAAAAGACAUAUUGAGUUUCACUUUCUCAACACAAUCCAUCGGCUUGAGGUUAAAACAACUUUCUAAUGUUUGACCAACAAGUUGAGGAAAAGCAGGCGCUUUUUACCUGUGUCAAAGUGAGGCCAUGUUCCCCAUCAUUGGUAGUUCUUGGGGUAGAGCGACCUAAGUGCUUCCAGACAUUCACGCCCUGUCUCCUUUCAUUUCAUCUCUUUGCAUCUCCCCAACAAAAUAACAUCUACCCUCCAAGGUUCCUCACUUCAUGUCUUCUUUUGUCCCGAGUAAAAUGCACAGUGCUUCCAAGUCAACUCUUGUUUCUUUAGGUUGAGUUUCACUCGCACACUCUUUGAGCUACAGCGAGCUGUGAUGACGUCUGUAUUAGACUGUGCAAUAGGGUAACCCCUUUUCUCCUUCAGCCAUGCUCGAUCCAAACACAUUAACCAACAUCUCGCUACAAUCUGUUUUUCUUUGCCUGCAAAAGAGCCACUGUGCUCGUCUUCAGACCAGCAAAUCGUCAACUGAACACUUUUGCUUUCUCUCAAAGGCCAAAGUCAAACAUUAUCUCCCAACUCAGAUUCUAAAUGAAGGCUUGGCAAGAACCACAAUGGAGAGGACUAGGGGCAUGGGUGGGCUGACUGAUCCAGCCACCGCUUUAAUUGGUCACACUCGACUGGCGCAUGGGCAGGAUGAGGAAACACAAGCUCAAUGAUGUCAUGACCAACUGACCCCGGGGUGACAGGUUUGGAGAAUGUUCUUGCCCACAACCCUCAGGCCAAAGUCAAGUAUGGCAAUGUUGCACAUGUGGAUUUCAUCUGAAGCGGCGUGAUUAGUUCACAGAUGCUCAACUGUGAUUCCCCCACCAUGGGAAACCCACUCUGGACAGGAAACGGCAUGUUUUUGUAAGCAACAAACAGGCAUAAAUUACUAAAAUGGUGCCUCCGUAACCAAUUCAUCACACAGAGCCUCAUUGUUUUUAAUUCUUCAAAUUUGACCUCGACAUUGCUUUUAAGGUAGUGUCAUUUGUUCAUAAUAUUUACAUUCUGCUUCUUGGUUUAUCUAAACUGUGUGUCUGCUAUGCUCUGCUAUGUUGUGCAAUAAACGCGAUCAUUGUUUUGUGUCAUUUUUUUGUACGUGACAAAUGUGUUUUAAUGACUUGUGUUUUUGAAAAUAAAUCAGGCUGUCACAGCACAAUUAAGAUGAUCAAGGGUCCUGGAAGAAGAAAAAAAAACUCAUUUUGAGACUGUGGGACUUGUUUUUGUAUAAGUGAUGCAGACAUAAGUGAAAAAAAUAAGGGCUUACACUCCUUGAUCAUGUUUAUUAGGAAGCUGUAUCCAUUGGUAAAUGAUGGUAGUAUGUAUACUGUACAAUGGUGGUAGUAUAUAUACUGCCAUCAUUAAUACAAUAGCUAUAAAACACAUCUAUUUAUAUGUAUCGUAGCUUUAAGAGUGUGAUAAUGAAAGUGACAUAUUAAAUAUUGAGCUUGACUAAAAGUAAUCUUAUCUGCAGAAGUGUAAGUGUGACUUUUUCUACUUUUGCUAAAAGGAUUUUGUUGAUGCGUGACUUUUGAAAACCGAUGAGACUAAUAUUGUUGGUGUAAGAGUUUGCAUGAAGCAACAUCUUUGUGAAAAACAUGAAGACCACCAGAAGAGGCCAUUACAUGAGGUAAGACUAUAACCUAUGAAGCCGCAAGUAAAACAUUUAUGAGAAGUUUGGAUGGAUACAAAAACAACCCACUGUGGCCUUCAUUCUGUAAUGUCACCAAGACAACACAACUGAAUAUUAAAAACGUACAUAAAAGGAAUUCUGUAUAACGUGUAUGUAGCUACUGUUAUGAUUGAGGUCAUUACAUACAUAUACAUACAUAUGCAUAUAACUGCAGUUUUUAAGUGCAUUCAAUUUAUGAUUUACUGCAUUUAGUAAAUGAGAAGAUUCCUAUUGUCGAAUCUACUGUCAAAUUUAGCUAUGUGGACUUUUGGAGGUUACAAGAUGUCUAUUGCAAAACAAAUGAAACUGUUUCGAAAACUACUUGUAAUUUUCAGGCGCUUCAAAAACCAACGUCCACAAUAAAUUCUGCAUUGAGAGCCUAUUGUAGGGAUGUCUUUUGGAGCACUUCAUGUAAACAACCCUUGCCAGCAUGAAUUAAUACUAACUACCAGUGUAGUAAAAGUAGUCUUGUGUCAGUCUUCUGCCAAAUGCAUUACAGAGAGCUCCAUUAAUACAAUGGUUAACAGAUGUGCCACCCAGUGCCAAAUGUUGAUUCGGCCUGUGUAUGUUUUCUCCAGGGAGAUUUCAAAAUAAAAUGUUGAAACACA